rnacentral:lncRNA from 1 species
UUCUUGUACUCCACAGAUACCUGUCUGGGACUGGCUGUCUGUGCCAUGAGCUCUUGGAUCUAACUGCUGGCUUCGAGGUGGUUUAUAAAUUCAUGUUUUACAGACUUCUUUCAUUGAGCAAACCUGCAAAAUGAGACAAUGAACAAUCUCCUGAGAUGACUUAUUGUGAGGAUAAAGGAAAGAAUGCAAGGAGGCUCUUUCCACACAGCGCCUCCGUGGUUUGGAAUGAAACAGAGAGCUUGCCUUUGUUCCACUUCUCAGCUUCGACACAGAGACGCCCUUAGGAUGCAGUUAUCUUGUAACUUCUCCAAGAAAAAAUAAAAACAAGCCCACU